ACUGUCUGGUGAAUAUCUUGAAAGAACCAGAUCCCAGCUGAUCUUUGAAGCCAAGCCGAAAUUUGACCUGGUUAGUACUUAAAAGGGAGACUUCCAGGAAAUACUAAGUAUGAUAGCU
rnacentral:rRNA from 11 species